ACCAGUAUAGACCAGUACAGACCAGUUUGGACCAGUAUGGACCAGUAUAGACCAGUUUGGGGCAGUAUAGGUCACUGGAAUGGGGAAUGGGGCAGAGGGACCAGUAAGGACCAGUUCAGGGGGUUGGGGGCACUUCAUCAUCUCCAUCAAGGUCAGAAACCAGUACAAACCAGUAUAGACCAGUAUGGACCAGUACAGACCAGUAUAGACCAGUAUACACCAGUACAGACCAGUAUAGACCAGUAUAGACCAGUAUGGAUCAGUAUGGACCAGUAUAAACCAGUACAGACCAGUAUAGACCAGUAUGGACCAGUACAGACCAGUACAGACCAGUAUAGACCAGUAUAGACCAGUAUGGACCAGUAUAGACCAGUAUAAACCAGUAUAGACCAGUCCGGGUGCCUGGAAUGGGGAAUGGGGCGGUGGGACCAGUUGGGGGGCUCUGAGCACCAGUAUAAACCAGUUAAAGGAGAACUCAACUGGGACUUACUGGUUUGGGGGUGGGCGUGGCUUAUCCGGGUGGGCGUGGCCUGUUCCCGAGUGGGGCGUGGCCUCUUAUUGGGGCGUGGCCUCCCUGGGGGCGUGGCCUCCCCU